GCUGUGAUGGCUGAGUGGUUAAGGUGUUGGAUUAGAAAUACAAAAGGGUUUCCCUGCAUAGGUUUGAAUCCUGCUCACAGUG
rnacentral:tRNA from 1 species